AAAAACUCUUUUUUCCUAGGGGGGAACUUUUUAGAUGAUUGAUUUCGUAAAAGACACAGUAUAUAUGGAGGUUUCUUGUAAUUUACACUUUUCUCAGUUUCACCAAAAACUUUACUGUGGAAAUUAUCUUGUCAACUUCUGACUGCUUUUGUCUUUUGGUGUGUUGAACUUUGUGUAGGUGCUGCCUUACUGUUAAGGGCCUGACGGAGAAGUUUAAGGAGAAGGACACGGCGUAUUCAGGGUCCGCAACCUUCACUUACGAGUCCUUCAUGCUAACUGUGCUGCCCUUCCUCAUUGCUUAGAUAAACAAACAAGUUGCUUGUAUAAUAAGCUUUUCCUUCUGAACCAUUUUCUCCCAAGCGUCAGCAAACCUAGUGUGUAUGCUUGCUCUGCUUUAUUUUCUUUAUGUCCAUGAUGGUAUGACAGUUUCUUGAUGUGUUAUUUCCCCGUUAUAGGUGUUUGUAUUGCCUCUGUUGACGAGUUAUUUUUAGCUUGUGGUACGAGUAGAACUUACAAUGAGAUAAAAGGAAAAAAUUGUUAAUUAUCAGGUUAUUGU